rnacentral:rRNA from 1 species
UGGGGAAUAUUGCACAAUGGGCGCAAGCCUGAUGCAGCCAUGCCGCGUGUGUGAAGAAGGCCUUCGGGUUGUAAAGCACUUUCAGCGAGGAGGAAGGUGGUGAGCUUAAUACGCUCAUCAAUUGACGUUACUCGCAGAAGAAGCACCGGCUAACUCCGUGCCAGCAGCCGCGGUAAUACGGAGGGUGCAAGCGUUAAUCGGAAUUACUGGGCGUAAAGCGCACGCAGGCGGUUUGUUAAGUCAGAUGUGAAAUCCCCGGGCUCAACCUGGGAACUGCAUUUGAAACUGGCAAGCUAGAGUCUCGUAGAGGGGGGUAGAAUUCCAGGUGUAGCGGUGAAAUGCGUAGAGAUCUGGAGGAAUACCGGUGGCGAAGGCGGCCCCCUGGACGAAGACUGACGCUCAGGUGCGAAAGCGUGGGGAGCAAACAGGUUAUGAUACCCUGGUAGUCCACGCUGUAAACGAUGUCGAUUUUGGAGGUUGUGCCCUUGAGGCGUGGCUUCCGGAGCUAACGCGUUAAAUCGACCGCCUGGGGAGUACGGCCGCAAGGUUAAAACUCAAAUGAAUUGACGGGGUCU